GACGAACGCUGGCGGCGUGCUUAACACAUGCAAGUCGAACGGAAAGGCCCUGCUUUUGUGGGGUGCUCGAGUGGCGAACGGGUGAGUAACACGUGAGUAACCUGCCCUUGACUUUGGGAUAACUUCAGGAAACUGGGGCUAAUACCGGAUAGGAGCUCCUGCUGCAUGGGGGGGGUUGGAAAGUUUCGGCGGUUGGGGAUGGACUCGCGGCUUAUCAGCUUGUUGGUGGGGUAGUGGCUUACCAAGGGUUUGACGGGUAGCCGGCCUGAGAGGGUGACCGGCCACAUUGGGACUGAGAUACGGCCCAGACUCCUACGGGAGGCAGCAGUGGGGAAUAUUGCACAAUGGGCGGAAGCCUGAUGCAGAAACGCCGCGUGCGGGAUGACGGCCUUCGGGUUGUAAACCGCUUUCGCAUGUGACGAAGCGUGAGUGACGGUAAUGGGUAAAGAAGCACCGGCUAACUACGUG
rnacentral:rRNA from 1 species